rnacentral:rRNA from 1 species
AUUGAACGCUGGCGGCAUGCCUUACACAUGCAAGUCGAACGGCAGCACAGGGCAACCUGGUGGCGAGUGGCGAACGGGUGAGUAAUGCAUCGGAACGUGCCCUGUAGUGGGGGAUAACUAGUCGAGAGAUUAGCUAAUACCGCAUACGACCUGAGGGUGAAAGUGGGGGACCGCAAGGCCUCAUGCUAUAGGAGCGGCCGAUGUCUGAUUAGCUAGUUGGUGGGGUAAAGGCCUACCAAGGCGACGAUCAGUAGCUGGUCUGAGAGGACGAUCAGCCACACUGGGACUGAGACACGGCCCAGACUCCUACGGGAGGCAGCAGUGGGGAAUUUUGGACAAUGGGCGAAAGCCUGAUCCAGCAAUGCCGCGUGUGUGAAGAAGGCCUUCGGGUUGUAAAGCACUUUUGUCCGGAAAGAAAUGGCUCUGGUUAAUACCUGGGGUCGAUGACGGUACCGGAAGAAUAAGGACCGGCUAACUACGUGCCAGCCGCCGCGGUAAGAC